ACGCAGCUAACGCGUGAAGUAGACCGCCUGGGGAGUACGGUCGCAAGAUUAAAACUCAAAGGAAUUGACGGGGACCCGCACAAGCGGUGGAUGAUGUGGAUUAAUUCGAUGCAACGCGAAAAACCUUACCUACCCUUGACAUGUACGGAAGCCACGAGAGAUCGAGGCGUGCUCGAAAGAGAGCCGUAACACAGGUGCUGCAUGGCUGUCGUCAGCUCGUGUCGUGAGAUGUUGGGUUAAGUCCCGCAACGAGCGCAACCCUUGUCAUUAGUUGCUACGAAAGGGCACUCUAAUGAGACUGCCGGUGACAAACCGGAGGAAGGUGGGGAUGACGUCAAGUCCUCAUGGCCCUUAUGGGUAGGGCUUCACACGUCAUACAAUGGUACAUACAGAGGGCCGCCAACCCGCGAGGGGGAGCUAAUCCCAGAAAGUGUAUCGUAGUCCGGAUUGUAGUCUGCAACUCGACUACAUGAAGUUGGAAUCGCUAGUAAUCGCGGAUCAGCAUGUCGCGGUGAAUACGUUCCCGGGUCUUGCACACACCGC
rnacentral:rRNA from 1 species